UUAACGAUACCUUUCAAUCAACACAUCACAAUCAGUGCUACAAAAAAAUGGCGGCGGUCAUACGUAACGAAGACUUAUUGUUCCACAUCAGUAGUUGUAAAUGUGAACCAUAGAUGGCGAUGAAACUUGUCUUUUAGUCUGCUAAAAAAGAGUCAAAUAAAAUGUCUGCAAUUGUCAACCUACGUGUUUUCCGUAAUUUUCAGCAGUUUGUGUCAAUUAGACCCAUUUCUAAUUAUCCCACAUCAUUUCGCAAAAAAAAAGAAAUUCAGAAAGUGGAUGGAGAUGACGAAUUCCGUUCGCUGGAUCUGAGUCCCAACAAGCCGUUGAAUAUGAUAUCAUACGGACGCAAAGUAUACAAGAGAGCAGCAGUUCAUCCUCCACAUUCCAACAAAAUGCCAACUGAUGAAGACUGUAGACUGGCCCUCAGUUUCGCCAGUUGCCAGAUCUUUCCAUCCAGCUAGUUUCCCCCUGCCCUUGCAUCAGGACAAUGUUGUUCCGGGGGCAACACCACCCGGUAAAUUUGCCAAUGCAGAGUUGAUGAAGAUCCCCAACUUCGUUAGGUUAUGGCCGUCAAGCAGCCUACCAUCAACUUUUUUGUUCAAAAGCAUUGUAUUCUACUGAAUGUGCAAUCGAAAUGAUACAGGAGUCAUAAUUAUCUGCUGUUUGUAUUGGACGUGCUAGAUCACCAAUCCCAGCAUAGACCAAUCUCUCAUUUCAUCUUCUUGAGAGAAGAUUGGAUUAGUGAUUGGUGGUUGCAUUUAUCAUAGAUGUCAAGCACUUUGAUGACACAAAUUAUAAACAAGGAUUCAUCAUUAUCUGUGCUUUGUAUUGGACUUGCUCGAUCACCAACCAAAGCAUGAACCAAUCAAUCAUUCACUUCGUUAGAGAACCUUGGAUAGCUGAUCGGUGGUUUCAUGUACAUCAAGCACAUUGAUGACACCAAUGAUAAACAG
rnacentral:lncRNA from 1 species